AUUGAACGCUGGCGGCAGGCCUAACACAUGCAAGUCGAGCGGCAGCGGGAAAGUAGCUUGCUACUUUUGCCGGCGAGCGGCGGACGGGUGAGUAAUGCCUGGGAAAUUGCCCAGUCGAGGGGGAUAACAGUUGGAAACGACUGCUAAUACCGCAUACGCCCUACGGGGGAAAGCAGGGGACCUUCGGGCCUUGCGCGAUUGGAUAUGCCCAGGUGGGAUCAGCUAGGUGGUGAGGUAAUGGCUCAACAAGGCGCCGAUCCCUAGCUGGUCUGAGAGGAUGAUCAGCCACACUGGAACUGAGACACGGUCCAGACUCCUACGGGAGGCAGCAGUGGGGAAUAUUGCACAAUGGGGGAAACCCUGAUGCAGCCAUGCCGCGUGUGUGAAGAAGGCCUUCGGGUUGUAAAGCACUUUCAGCGAGGAGGAAAGGUUGAUGCCUAAUACGUAUCAACUGUGACGUUACUCGCAGAAGAAGCACCGGCUAACUCCAUGCCAGCAGCCGCAGUAACAC
rnacentral:rRNA from 1 species